UACGGAGGGUGCAAGCGUUAUCCGGAUUUACUGGGCGUAAAGGGCUCGUAGGCGGCCAACUAAGUCAGACGUGAAAUCCCUCGGCUUAACCGGGGAACUGCAUCUGAUACUGGAUGGCUUGAGUUCGGGAGAGGGAUGCGGAAUUCCAGGUGUAGCGGUGAAAUGCGUAGAUAUCUGGAGGAACACCGGUGGCGAAGGCGGCAUCCUGGACCGACACUGACGCUGAGACGCGAAAGCGUGGGGAGCGAACAGG
rnacentral:rRNA from 1 species